rnacentral:rRNA from 1 species
GGUGAGUAAUGCCUAGGAAUCUGCCUGGUAGUGGGGGAUAACGUCCGGAAACGGACGCUAAUACCGCAUACGUCCUACGGGAGAAAGCAGGGGACCUUCGGGCCUUGCGCUAUCAAAUGAGCCUAGGUCGGAUUAGCUAGUUGGUGGGGUAAUGGCUCACCAAGGCGACGAUCCGUAACUGGUCUGAGAGGAUGAUCAGUCACACUGGAACUGAGACACGGUCCAGACUCCUACGGGAGGCAGCAGUGGGGAAUAUUGGACAAUGGGCGAAAGCCUGAUCCAGCCAUGCCGCGUGUGUGAAGAAGGUCUUCGGAUUGUAAAGCACUUUAAGUUGGGAGGAAGGGCAGUAAAUUAAUACUUUGCUGUUUUGACGUUACCGACAGAAUAAGCACCGGCUAACUCUGUGCCAGCAGCCGCGGUAAUACAGAGGGUGCAAGCGUUAAUCGGAAUUACUGGGCGUAAAGCGCGCGUAGGUGGUUCGUUAAGUUGGAUGUGAAAAUCCCCGGGCUCAACCUGGGAACUGCAUUUCAAAACUGA